rfam:Gossypium raimondii Chr10_contig_531, whole genome shotgun sequence.
CACAUCAGCGCGCUUUGUUGACGUGGACACAAAUCGCGUACUCUGAAGCGCGAUUUAUUACCAUGUCAGCAAAGCGUGCAGACGUGG